rnacentral:rRNA from 1 species
GAUGAACGCUGGCGGCGUGCCUAAUACAUGCAAGUCGAGCGAACAGACGAGGAGCUUGCUCCUCUGACGUUAGCGGCGGACGGGUGAGUAACACGUGGAUAACCUACCUAUAAGACUGGGAUAACUUCGGGAAACCGGAGCUAAUACCGGAUAAUAUAUUGAACCGCAUGGUUCAAUAGUGAAAGACGGUUUUGCUGUCACUUAUAGAUGGAUCCGCGCCGCAUUAGCUAGUUGGUAAGGUAACGGCUUACCAAGGCAACGAUGCGUAGCCGACCUGAGAGGGUGAUCGGCCACACUGGAACUGAGACAAGGUCCAGACUCCUACGGGAGGCAGCCGUAGGGAAUCUUUCGGAAUGGGCGAAAGCCUGACGGAGCAACGGCGCGUGAGUGAAGAAGGUCUUCGGAUCGGAAAACCCUUUUAUUAGGGAAGAACAAAUGUGUAAGUAACUAUGCACGUCUUGACGGUACCUAAUCAGAAAGCCACGGCUAACUACGUG